rnacentral:lncRNA from 1 species
ACGAGCAAUUCGGCUACCUGGAUUAACUUUACCUGAAUUACCACCUCUACCUUCAGUCACAUUGCCAACUCUACCUCCAGUCUCAUUGCCACAUCUAAGAGUACCACCUCUACCUUCAGUCACAUUGCCAACUCUACCUCCAGUCUCAUUGCCACCUCUAAGAGUACCACCUCUACCUUCAGUCACAUUGCCAACUCUACCUCCAGUCUCAUUGCCACCUCUAAGAGUACCACCUCUACCUUCAGUCACAUUGCCAACUCUACCUCCAGUCUCAUUGCCACCUCUAAGAGUACCACCUCUACCUUCAGUCACAUUGCCAACUCUACCUCCAGUCUCAUUGCCACCUCUACCUCCAGUCACAUUGCCAC